UCCUACGGGAGGCAGCAGUCGGGAAUUUUGCGCAAUGGGCGAAAGCCUGACGCAGCAACGCCGCGUGAGGGAUGACGGCCUUCGGGUUGUAAACCUCUUUUCUCAGGGACGAUAAUGACGGUACCUGAGGAAGAAGCCACGGCUAACUACGUGCCAGCAGCCGCGGUA
rnacentral:rRNA from 1 species